rnacentral:rRNA from 1 species
GACGAACGCUGGCGGCGUGCUUAACACAUGCAAGUCGAACGGAAAGGCCCUGCUUGCAGGGUACUCGAGUGGCGAACGGGUGAGUAACACGUGGGUGAUCUGCCUUGCACUUCGGGAUAAGCCUGGGAAACUGGGUCUAAUACCGGAUAGGAGCCAUUUUUAGUGUGAUGGUUGGAAAGUUUUUUCGGUGUAGGAUGAGCUCGCGGCCUAUCAGCUUGUUGGUGGGGUAAUGGCCUACCAAGGCGGCGACGGGUAGCCGGCCUGAGAGGGUGGACGGCCAGAGGGGGAGGGGGAGCAGGCCCAGCAGAGGGGGGGAGGCGGCAGUGGGUAAUAGGGCACCAGGGGGUGAAGGUGGAGGCAGGGGGGGGGGGGGGGGGAUGACGCCCUUCGGGUUGUGACCUCGUGUCGCUAGGGCCGAUGCUGUUUGGCACGGUACCAGCAUAAGAACCACCGGCAAACUCCGGGCCAGCCCCCGAGGUAUAACCAGACCACCCCACAUCUCCAC